UACGUAGGGUGCAAGCGUUGUCCGGAAUUAUUGGGCGUAAAGAGCUCGUAGGCGGUCUGUCGCGUCGGCUGUGAAAAUCCCGAGGCUCAACCUCGGGGUCUGCAGUCGAUACGGGCAAAACUAGAGUAUUGCAGGGGGAGACUGGAAUUCCUGGUGUAGCGGUGGAAAUGCGCAGAUAUCAGGAGGAACACCCAAUAGCGAAAGGCAGCUCGCUGGGGACGGUACUGACGCUGAGAAAGCGAAAAGCAUGGGGGGAGCGAAACAGG
rnacentral:rRNA from 1 species